CCACAGGAUAGUGCACUUUUGUUCAAAUGUGGACUAAUUCUGAGCAAUCCAUUUCCAAUCUGGGCAUUCGGGACUGUAUUUAUACCGAUUGUUCACGCAAUGAUCUUGCUACGACUCUUCAAAGUUGCCGGUUCGCGCUGGAAAUGAUUUUCUGCCAUUCGUCAACUUUUUCCACUUGCUUCAGACCAAAAUUCACCGUCUUCAGUGUUCUGGAAGCCCAACAGUAGCGCUUCCACGAAUAUCUGCUCGCUUAAGUAUUCAAAAUUGUAAAAGUAUGCAAUAUAUGAAUUGUGUAGAGCCUCAUA